AGCGAACGCUGGCAGCAGGCCUAACACAUGCAAGUCGAACGAACUCUUCGGAGUUAGUGGCGGACGGGUGAGUAACACGUGGGAACGUGCCUUUUGGUUCGGAAUAACUCAGGGAAACUUGUGCUAAUACCGAAUGUGCCCUUCGGGGGAAAGAUUUAUCGCCAUUAGAGCGGCCCGCGUCUGAUUAGCUAGUUGGUGAGGUAACGGCUCACCAAGGCGACGAUCAGUAGCUGGUCUGAGAGGGUGACCAGCCACACUGGGACUGAGACACGGCCCAGACUCCUACGGGAGGCAGCAGUGGGGAAUCUUGCGCAAUGGGCGAAAGCCUGACGCAGCCAUGCCGCGUGAAUGAUGAAGGUCUUAGGAUUGUAAAAUUCUUUCACCGGGGACGAUAAUGACGGUACCCGGAGAAGAAGCCCCGGCUAACUUCGUG
rnacentral:rRNA from 1 species